rnacentral:rRNA from 1 species
GCUGGGUAGCUAUGUACGGAAGGGAUAAGCGCUGAAAGCAUCUAAGCGUGAAGCCCCCCUCAAGAUGAGAUUUCCCAAUUAGUAAGACCCCUUGAAGACGACGAGGUAGAUAGGUUGGGGGUGGAAGUGCAGUAAUGCAUGGAGCUGACCAAUACUAAUCGGUCGAGGGCUUAUCCUAAA